rnacentral:rRNA from 1 species
GAUGAACGCUGGCGGCGUGCCUAAUACAUGCAAGUCGAGCGAACGGACGAGAAGCUUGCUUCUCUGAUGUUAGCGGCGGACGGGUGAGUAACACGUGGAUAACCUACCUAUAAGACUGGGAUAACUUCGGGAAACCGGAGCUAAUACCGGAUAAUAUUUUGAACCGCAUGGUUCAAAAGUGAAAGACGGUCUUGCUGUCACUUAUAGAUGGAUCUGCGCUGCAUUAGCUAGUUGGUAAGGUAACGGCUUACCAAGGCAACGAUGCAUAGCCGACCUGAGAGGGUGAUCGGCCACACUGGAACUGAGACACGGUCCAGACUCCUACGGGAGGCAGCAGUAGGGAAUCUUCCGCAAUGGGCGAAAGCCUAACGGAGCAACGCCGCGUGAGUGAUGAAGGUCUUCGGAUCGUAAAACUCUGUUAUUAGGGAAGAACAUAUAUGUAAGUAACUGUGCACAUCUUGACGGUACCUAAUCAGAAAGCCACGGCUAACUACGUG